CCUACGGGAGGCAGCAGUGAGGAAUAUUGGUCAAUGGACGCAAGUCUGAACCAGCCAUGCCGCGUGCAGGAAGACGACCCUAUGAGUUGUAAACUGCUUUUGUACAGGGGUAAACGCAGACACGCGUGCCUUUCUGAAUGUAUCUUACGAAUAAGGAUCGGCUAACUCCGUGCCAGCAGCCGCGGUAAUACGGAGGAUUCAAGCGUUAUCCGGAUUUAUUGGGUUUAAAGGGUGCGUAGGUGGGUGGUUAAGUUAGAUGUGAAAGCGCGAGGCUCAACUUCGGAAUUGCCACUGAUACUGGUCGGCUAGAGAGUAGUUGCGGUAGGCGGAAUGUGUGGUGUAGCGGUGAAAUGCUUAGAGAUCAUACAGAACACCGAUUGCGAAGGCAGCUUACCAAGCUACUACUGACGUUGAGGCACGAAAGCGUGGGUAGCAAACAGGAUUAGAUACCCUAGUAGUC
rnacentral:rRNA from 1 species